rnacentral:rRNA from 1 species
GACGAACGCUGGCGGCGUGCUUAACACAUGCAAGUCGAACGGAAAGGCCCUGCUUUUGUGGGGUGCUCGAGUGGCGAACGGGUGAGUAACACGUGAGUAACCUGCCCUUGACUUUGGGAUAACUUCAGGAAACUGGGGCUAAUACCGGAUAGGAGCUCCUGCUGCAUGGUGGGGGUUGGAAAGUUUCGGCGGUUGGGGAUGGACUCGCGGCUUAUCAGCUUGUUGGUGGGGUAGUGGCUUACCAAGGCUUUGACGGGUAGCCGGCCUGAGAGGGUGACCGGCCACAUGGGGACGGAGAUACGGCCCAGACCCCUACGGGGGGCAGGGGUGGGGAAUUUUGCACAAGGGGCGGGGGCCUGAUGCAGCACCGCCGGGGGGGGGAGGACGGCUUUCGGGUUGAAAACCGCUUUCGCCUGUGACGAAGCGGGGGUGGGGGUAAUGGGGAAAGAAGCACCGGCAAACUACGU